rnacentral:rRNA from 1 species
CAGCCGCCGCGGGUAUACAUAGGGUGCGAGCGUUAAUCGGAUUUACUGGGCGUAAAGCGUGCGUAGGCGGCUAAUUGAGUCGGAUGUGAAAUCCCCGAGCUUAACUUGGGAAUUGCAUUCGAUACUGGUUAGCUAGAGUGUGGGAGAGGAUGGUAGAAUUCCAGGUGUAGCGGUGAAAUGCGUAGAGAUCUGGAGGAAUACCGAUGGCGAAGGCAGCCAUCUGGCCUAACACUGACGCUGAGGUACGAAAGCAUGGGGAGCAAACAGGAUUAGAUACCCCCGUAGUCCCUGUCUCUUAUAU